GAUCCUGGCUCAGGAUGAACGCUGGCGGCGUGCUUAACACAUGCAAGUCGAACGGUGAAGCCUGCUAUUUAUAGUGGGUGGAUCAGUGGCGGACUGGUGAGUAACACGUAGGUGACCUGCCCCAAAGAGGAGAAUAACUUGACGAAAGUGAAGCUAAUACUCCAUGUGGUCAAUCAUUCGGUUGAUUGAUUAAAGCUAAGGCGCUUUGGGAGGGGCUUGCGGCCCAUCAGCUAGUUGGUAGGGUAAAGGCCUACCAAGGCGAAGACGGGUAGCUGGUCUGAGAGGACGAUCAGCCACAAUGGCACUGAAACACGGGCCAUACUCCUACGGGAGGCAGCAGUGAGGAAUAUUGCACAAUCGACGCAAGUCGGAUGCAGCAACGCCGCGUGGACGAUGAAGGCCUUCGGGUUGUAAAGUCCUUUUAAGAGGGACGAGGAAGGACGGUACCUCUUGAAUAAGUCUCGGCUAACUACGUGCCAGCAGCCGCGGUAACACGUAGGAAGCGAGCGUUAUCCGGAUUUAUUGGGCGUAAAGCGCAUGCAGGUGGCUAGGUAAGUCGGGUGUGAAAGCCCCGGACUUAAUCCGGGGAGGUCAUUCGAUACUGCUUGGCUCGAGAGCGGGAGAGGGAAGUGGAAUUCUCGGUGUAGUGGUGAUAUGCGUAGAUAUCGAGAGGAACACCAGUGGCGAAGGCGGCUUCCUGGCCCGUAUCUGACACUAAGAUGCGAAAGCGUGGGUAGCAAACGGACUUAGAUACUCCGGUAGUCCACGCUGUAAACGAUGGGUACUAGGUGUAGGGGGUGUAAAACUCUCUGUGCCAUAGUUAACGCACUAAGUACCCCGCCUGGGGACUACGGUCGCAAGGCUAAAACUCAAAGGAAUUGACGGGGGCCCGCACAAGCAGCGGAGCGUGUGGUUUAAUUCGAGGCUGCGCGAAGAACCUUACCUGGGCUUGACAUGAUAGUGGUACCCGGGUGGAAACAUCGGGGGACCUUCGGGAGCUAUCACAGGUGCUGCAUGGCUGUCGUCAGCUCGUGCCGUGAGGUGUUCGGUUAAGUCCAAAAACGAGCGCAACCCCUGGCGUUAGUUACAAGUGUCUAACGCGACUGCCCGGGGAAACUGGGAGGAAGGUGGGGAUGACGUCAAGUCAGCAUGGCCUUUAUGUCCAGGGCGACACACACGCUACAAUGGCCGGUACAAUAGGCAGCCAAGCCGCGAGGUGGAGCGAAUCCAACAAAACCGGUCUCAGUUCAGAUUGUAGGCUGCAACUCGCCUGCAUGAAGUCGGAGUUGCUAGUAAACGCGGAUCAGCCACGCCGCGUGAAUACGUCCCGGGCCUUGUA
rnacentral:rRNA from 1 species